UUUUUGGAGAGACACCAAGGCAGAAAAAAUUCCCUUUCUCUUUAUUUUUAAGAACCAUUCAUCAACCUCCAUGUAAUCCAUUGAUUCUCUCAUGUACGUACUCAAACCUAGGGCUUUCUAUUUUCAUGCAUUUGACUUCAUUCCUUUAGAAUUUUUGGCUUCAACUUGAGCAUUUUGAGAACUUUUAGUACUCUUAAUCACAAAAUUCGAGUUAGGCAGCUAGGCAUUCUAGGAAUUUGAACUCCCAAUGCGCUCAAGCUAAGGAUUAUGAACAGGUUGUGGUGAUUGUAACCGUAAAUUGGUGGUAAACUGUGCACAAAAUCAGCUUUGAAGAUGAAGAAAAUAAUGUCCCUAAAGGUGAUGUCGAGGGAUUGGUGUGAAGCUUCGCCAUCAGAGAAAGUUGGUCAAAGCUCAUCAGUUCGAUUCAGGGAGAUGCAGGCGGGGUUGGUGUAGCGAUAUAAUUUAUUUAAGUUGAAGGAGAAUACAUGGAAUUGGGACCUCAAUUUUGAGGAUUUCUUUGGAUUCGAUGGAUCUCAAUCUCUGUUUCAUAGCGUUGAUGAGGAAGGGUUUAGGAAAAUUGAAGAUUUGGUGGAAAUGAAUGUCGGGUUCAAUGAACGUACGGAGGUGGCGCCGAUUGGUUUCUAGGGUUUGG
rnacentral:lncRNA from 1 species